UCUGAGUUUUCUCACACGCUCCCCAGGAACCAAACUCCCAAACAGCCCUACCCAUCACCUUCGCCGCUGACUCGCUGCCUCUUUGCCGGCGCCGACUCGCCGCCUCUUUGCCGGCGCCGACACACCGUCUCUUCAGACUUCAGUCUUCAUCAUCGUCGCCGUCUGGAACUUGUUCGAUCAAAAACAACUCUGAAACCCUAACGACUCUCUUCCUCUAUUUCUUUCUUCAUCAUCACUGAACCAUCUUCUCCAGAGUCCAGACCCAUCUCGUAUUUUGGAGACACCCACAGUAGAGUUUGUCCUACAUAUAUCAGUCAAGACCGUGUUAAUUUCUCAGGUUAUCCAGAGAAGGUUCAGUUCAAAGAUUCAUUGCAAAAAGAGCACCUGCUCGUGAUAUUACAAAGCUUAAUAAAAAACAAAAUUAAGUAGUAGAACUUCUACUACAUAUGUUGUACUUAUAACUGAUGCUUAAAUAUUGCUUGGGACUCAUUCUUUGUUAUAAGUUGGAAAGCUCGGCAAUUGAAUCAUUCUCUUUGAUGCUCUAGAUAUGAAUUGUCAAGUAUCUCAACAUUGUCAAGUUUUCUCAGCAGAGUUGCUUUGCUUGAUGGAUUGAAUGGUUGAGACCCAACAUGAGAACUUUUUGGCAACUCAAUUUUUACGAACAGGCUACAUAUACUGAUUGAGCUGAUGAAAAAGUUUCAAUGUGCCACCCUGGAGAGAAGGAAAAGUAAUUAAAAUGGAAGUAUGUAUCCAAGAUCAUUCUCAAACAGAAGACCGUAUGUCCAUAAAAUUUUUAUGUAAUAUUCAUAAUCACCAACUUGCUCGUCGAAGUAAUUUUUUCGUUGACAAAUUUACGGUAUCCUAUAGCUGAAUUGUCUGCUGUGAACUUAAUCGAAAAGGAGUCUUGGUCCUUUUCAUCAAUUAUCAGGAUAGCGAACAAUCCCUUGGCCUGAAGCCGCUUCACGGUACAUCUCAAAGAUACUACCGGUGUCAUAGUUACUACCAUCUUCAAGACAAAUGCCAAAAAAAAAACAUCUCCAUCAACAGCAUGCAACAGGAAGGGAAAAGUCGGCAUAUAUACCAUCUCUCUCAGUAAUGUUUGAGCGACCAAGAAAACUUCAUUUGCCUCAAAAAGUUGCAAAUUCCCAGGGUGUUACAAGACCGUACAACAGUAUAUGGUUACUACUCUCGUAGAUGAGCUUAAAAACAUGUAGCAGGCAUGACUCUUCUGACUUUUGGAAGAAUUUUGGACAGAAGCUUUUUUGGGCAGUCUAUUUAUGUAGUUGUGUUGGGCACAUUAAUUUUAUAUUUUUUUUCUAAUAUAUCUCAAGCCAAUUGAUGCAUCGUUUGCUUUAA